AGAAGGAGACCUGAGGAAGCCACAUGGAGCAGCAAGCAUACUCUAGCAUAUAGAGAGUCAUGUCUGUACUUUUCAGAUUACAUCAUACUAAAAACAGACGAAAAGAUUUAACAAAGCCACACACCAAAAAACCCUGUUCUCGCUACCAACUGAAGAAAGAAAAUUUUGUCAAUAGUUGAAUUUUCCCUGGUACUUCCCACCACCUUCUCCGACCUUCUCAGAGGUCUUAGGUGUAUAGCCAACUAAUUUUCAACAAAGGAGUCAAAAGCAAACAAUGGAACCAGUCAAGUCUCCUCAACAAAUGUGUUGUGAAAACCAAACAACCACAUGCAAAAGAAAGAAACUACAUGGUUGCAUAAAAAUUAGUUCAAAGUAGAUUGAAGACUUAGAUAUAAGGACUAAAGCAUUAAAAUAAAUAGAAGCAAAUAUAGACAAUACACUCUAUGCCAUUGAUCUUAGUGAUGUGUUUGGGGUCUUGAUUCCAACAAAAACAAAAAUAAGCAAAUGAGACUACAUAAAACUAAAAAAAAAAAAACAA